GAGUGAGAAGCCGGUUUGAAGAGCGGAGUUGAACCGAAGGGAGAGAGACCGGGGAAGAACCUCGAGCUGUGCGCGAGGAGCACACACACACGGGGUGGGACCGGACAACCGGAUGCACACGGUGGAGCGCUUUUACCGGUCCUUUUCUCAGGUUUUAAAGGCUAACGCCGGAGUGGGUCGCUACGCUAAAGCCGCUGUCUCAUUCUACGUGAAUUCUGCGUCACGUCGAAACCUCAGGGAGUGACACGAAACAGAAUGACAGAGUUAAGGUGUGGCAGAGGAUUUUGUAAGGUUCUGGGACUGAAAUUGUUACAAAACCGAGUUUUUGAGGCUGGAAACUGGACGACACGUGUCGGGGCUUUUGAAAUGUCGUUUCAUAAAGGACUAUUAGGCACCACGGGCCUAACAAAUAUGAAUUAGACGUGUUUGUCCGCGUGCCUCAUUACUUAACUCCCCCAUCGUCUGUGGCUGUGAUUAAUGAGACUGCUGCGCAGUUUAGGAGUCGGAUUUGGACCGCUUCACGGGUCGUUUUGGUUUGGUGUGACAUAAAACGGACGUGGCAACUUUACGGUAGCCAGGUCCGCUUGAAUGAUUCAGUCAGACAGGGCGUGGGGCGAAAAGAAUCAGCCCGGAGAGAGUCCUGUAAACUCCGUCAAAGCUGCGCAAAAUGCGCAAAUUCACGGCCCGGGAGCAUCUUCGUGCGGUUUUGUGGAGCUUGUGGAUUGAUUUGAGCAGAAGUAAGUCAUUUACGUUUGAGCAACUUUCUUUUAGCUUAGACAAUGUUUAAAGGAAUAGGUGGAGACUUUUGGUGUUUGAAAAAGGUUUAGUUGGAGGUUAAACAUAAUCCUGUAUUUUCUCACUGCCCUAAAUCGGGUGUGUCCUAACCUAAACGUCUGAGCAGAAGUGAUUGGAAAUUACACAUUUUGUUGUUUAGUAAUACAUUAGUUCGUGUAGUUGAUACCAGUCCUGUGUCUAAUCACGAUCAGCAUUAAUUCGUGAAGAGAGCUACGUGCAUUCCUCGAGGCCCCACCCUUUGCAGAGCAACAUGGAUGUGAAGAGUUGCCGCCGCCUCCUCCUCCUCCUCACGCUCUCGGCCUCCGCCGUCUUUCAUUUCCCCUUUUCAAGUUCUCCCCGCUCUCCCUCCCUCCUCUCCCACUAUCUCCAGGUGCCUACAGCAGAUCUUUCAUAUCCUGGCAUGGUCUGCCUCCAGGAAUCCACGCAGAGGUUUUUGAUUGAUUGAUUGAAGACACUGUGAACCCAUUGCUAUUAAUUUAAGGACCAAGAACAGAGGACUGAAGGAUGCGGUCAUCGGUGUUUCUGGCUCAUUAAAAUGUGUUUCGUGCCAAGCAGCGCACACAUAAAGGGAAAGAGACGUCUUGCCUGUGACCUUCAGCAGCUAUAAACUGAACUUCAAGAGGCAGGGCAGUGCCCAGAGCAGGAUGUGAGAGCAAACAUGUCUCUUUAAAAGCUGCCAGCCAGCAUCGAACAGAGGGAAGGAAUGUUUUGAGUUCUUAACAAAACCAGAUGCUCCGGCUUAUACUUUCCCUUGCACAUGUGCUCCAUGCUGCCUUGUCUGUUCGGCUCAUAUUCAUCACCACAGUUGGAACUAAGAACUGGACAGACUUAAGUUCUCAGCUGCAGAUGCACGUUGUUCUCUAUCAGCUCUUAGCUUGGUGAAUGUGGCCCAAUCUCUUUAUCCUCCUGUCUGCUCCUUUUUACCUACACAUCCUUAUAUUGGCAGACCUUUCCCUCAUCCCCUUCCACCCCCACAAUCCUCAUUUACUUCAGCGGCAGACUUGCUCACACACAAGGACACCGACGCAGGAUUAUUCCCGUCUGUCUCCUGUACAUCCUCUUUAGGUAGCACUGCCAGUAUCCUGCAUUCAUGCGUCAUAACGCUGCGUACGAGGGCCACGUCUUGUCCUCGUGUGGGUUUGUUUCAAGGCGAUAGCUCUGAUGUCUGAGCCGCUCUUGGGGAGUUGCUCUGAGUGCAUUUAGAGAUGGCAGAAUAAAGGUUGCAUGAGGAAGACGAGCAGCAGCAAGAUGGAUCAAGAAGGAACAGGUUGACUAUAUUUCUGAAAGCGUACGAGUUUGAGCAGUGCUGAUGGCGGCUUGCCAGAAGCUUUCAGGCUUUCCAUGUUUUGAGUUCAAAGAUUGAUUUGUGUUUUUUUUUUCAUAGCAUUUUUAUACUUUUUAUUCAAAAUAAACUAUUUUCUGAACUUU